GAUGAACGCUGGCGGCGUGCCUAAUACAUGCAAGUCGAGCGAACGGACGAGGAGCUUGCUUCUCUGAUGUUAGCGGCGGACGGGUGAGUCACACGUGGAUAACCUACCUAUAAGACUGGGAUAACUUCGAGAAACCGUAGCUAAUAGCGGAGAAUCUCUUGCACCGCAUGGUUCAAAGGAAAAAGACGGUCGUGCUGGCAGUUCUAGAUGGAUCCGGGCUGCAUGAGCUAGUAGGUAAGGUAACGGCCUACCAAGGCAACGAUGCAUAGCCGAACGGAGAGGGGGAUAGGCCACAUGAGAACGGGGACAGGCACCAGGGGCCUACGGGAGGCAGCAGUCUGGAACCGUCCGCAGAGGUCGAAAGCCUGACGGAGCGAGGCGGCGCGAGUGAUGAAGGUCUCCGGAGCGUAAAACUCUGUUAUUAGGGAAAAACCGAUGUGUAAGUAGCCGAGCACAUAUUGACGGUACCGAGUCAGAAAGCACCGGCUAACUACGUG
rnacentral:rRNA from 1 species